CGAGAGUGAUUCACAAUUUACGAAAGUACCCCGACUUGCACACUCCGAAAGUCAGAAGCAAUUCUAUUCGUACUUCAUCGUCCUCUUCCCUUGUCUGCUUCUCCUUAAAGCAUACACACAUCGCCGGGAAGAUACAGAGCCGCUCGAAACGGCGCGGUUUGGACUCUCCCCGGCACCCGGCAGCCCGGAGCGCGCUCGGACGCGGGAGAUCUGAUCGGUCGGAGGAACCGAUCUCGAAUCUCGAACCCCCGGAGCCCCGCAAGUUCCCGAAUUUCGGAGAU
rnacentral:lncRNA from 1 species